UUAAUGGAGAGUUUGAUCCUGGCUCAGGACGAACGCUGGCGGCGUGCCUAAUACAUGCAAGUCGAGCGGGGUUAAUUAGAAGCUUGCUUCUAACUAACCCAGCGGCGGACGGGUGAGUAACACGUAGGCAACCUGCCCACAAGACAGGGAUAACUACCGGAAA
rnacentral:rRNA from 1 species